CCAAACAGGGUGAGAGACCCUGUCGCCGAAAGUCCAAGGGUUCCUGCUUAAAGCUAAUCUGAGCAGGGUAAGCCGGCCCCUAAGGCGAGGCCGAAAGGCGUAGUCGAUGGGAACCAGGUUAAUAUUCCUGGGCCAGGAGAUGGUGACGGAUCGCAGAGGUAGUUCUUCCUUAUCGGAUUGGAAGGGCUGCUGAGCGGUUCCUGGAAAUAGCCCUCCACAAGACCGUACCCUAAACCGACACAGGUGGACUGGUAGAGAAUACCAAGGCGCUUGAGAGAACCACAUUUAAGGAACUCGGCAAAAUACCUCCGUAAGUUCGCGAGAAGGAGGCCCCGUUUGUACGCAAGUAUGGGCGGGGGGCACAAACCAGGGGGCGGCGACUGUUUACUAAAAACACAGGGCUCUGCGAAGCCGUAAGGCGACGUAUAGGGUCUGACGCCUGCCCGGUGCCGGAAGGUUAAAAGGAGAUGUGCAAGCAUUGAAUUGAAGCCCCGGUAAACGGCGGCCGUAACAAUAACGGUCCUAAGGUAGCGAAAUUCCUUGUCGGGUAAGUUCCGACCUGCACGAAUGGCGUAACGACUUCCCCGCUGUCUCAAAUGUGGACUCAGCGAAAUUGAAUUGUCUGUGAAGAUGCAGACUUCCCGCGGUUAGACGGAAAGACCCCAUGCACCUUUACUAUAGCUUCGCACUGGCAUCAGGAUUGUGAUGUGCAGGAUAGGUGGUAGGCAUUGAAACCGGGACGCCAGUUCCGGUGGAGCCAUCCUUGAGAUACCACCCUUCGCACUCUUGAUGUCUAACCGCGGCCCGUUAUCCGGGUCCGGGACCCUGCGUGGUGGGUAGUUUGACUGGGGCGGUCGCCUCCCAAAAAGUAACGGAGGCGCGCGAAGGUUGGCUCAGAGCGGUCGGAAAUCGCUCGUUGAGUGCAAUGGCAGAAGCCAGCCUGACUGCAAGACUGACAAGUCGAGCAGAGACGAAAGUCGGCCAUAGUGAUCCGGUGGUCCCGAGUGGAAGGGCCAUCGCUCAACGGAUAAAAGGUACGCUGGGGAUAACAGGCUGAUGAUGCCCAAGAGUCCAUAUCGACGGCAUCGUUUGGCACCUCGAUGUCGGCUCAUCUCAUCCUGGGGCUGGAGCAGGUCCCAAGGGUACGGCUGUUCGCCGUUUAAAGAGGUACGUGAGCUGGGUUUAGAACGUCGUGAGACAGUUCGGUCCCUAUCUGCCGUGGGUGUAGGAUACUUGAGAGGAGUUGCCCCUAGUACGAGAGGACCGGGGUGAACGUUCCACUGGUGGACCAGUUGUCGUGCCAACGGCAGUGCUGGGUAGCUAUGAACGGACAGGAUAAACGCUGAAGGCAUCUAAGCGUGAAGCCCCCCUCAAAACAAGGUAUCCCUUGAGAGCCGUGGAAGACCACCACGUCGAUAGGCCGGAGAUGUAAGUGCAGCAAUGCAUUCAGUUGACCGGUACUAAUGGCUC
rnacentral:rRNA from 1 species